rnacentral:misc_RNA from 1 species
UUUUUUCCAAUUCCGUUUUGUGAUAAUGGGAUAUCUUUUCUAGACUGCCCCUUCAUAGUCCCUCUACCUCUUCCUGCACCAGCAAGUGCUCCACCACGCGCCAUAGAUUUCUUAUUCCCACGGCCUGGCCACCUCUAUGAAAAAUUCCCGGAUUCUCACCCUCCCACCUUAUAUCUUCAGGAGAAAUCUCUUUCAGGUUAACCCAUUCCCAUGUUUCAUCCACUGUAUUAAUAUCAUAAACCAAAGCAUGCCUCC